rnacentral:lncRNA from 1 species
UAUUUUCGUCGGUUUGGGUAUAAGUACAGUAAAUUACAAAAAAAGAAUAAAAUCAAACUUGAUGGUAUAUAUUUAUUAGCUUAAUAGAGCUAAACAUUAUAAUAAACAUACACUUUUUUAGUUUUUUUUUUGUGUGUGUGUGUUAAUUACAUAACAGAUGAUUGCAAGAUCAUCAAUCUGAUAGUGUUAAAUCAGUAUCUAAUUUUAUCAUAUCAAAACAAAACACUUUUUCACGAUUUUAGAUUAUAUCUUUUUGUUGUUUGCUGAUAAUAAUUAAAAAGCAUACACUAUUUAACCUUUUUUGACGACUACAUUGAAAGUAUAUUUUAAAUUAGUAAUAUAUAAACCAAGUUACAAAAAUGAAGUCUCUUUCACGAUAAGACCUCUCUUUUGUGUUUUCUCUUUU